rnacentral:lncRNA from 1 species
UCCAAACGCUCUGUAGAUGUGUUGACAGUGGUGCUGUUGACCUCAGAGAUGAACACUGCUUUGGAGAAUGAGGAGGUCUUGAGCAAUGGAAAGAUUCAGGCUAAUGAGAGCAGAGACCUUGUUCUCUCCAUCUCUCUGGAUCCCAGGCAGUCCAUGACAUGGCAGACACCCAAUGAGUAACAUUUUUAAAUGAACGAGUGGCAACCUUUUUUCUGGACAUAACGUCUUGGCAUCUUCUGUGAUGUUCAUAAACAAACCCUGGAUUUGCGUUAUGAUAGAUGAAGAUGUGGAGGCCAGUUUUGUGCUAUGGUGCUCAUAUACAGGCAAUUCCUACUUAACCUGCAACAUCCUCUUGAUAACAAUGAUCUACUUGCUUUGUAACUCACUAGUUUGUGACCUCUGGAGUCCCUGAUUUUAUUUUAUGGAUUCAGAUACUGUAAGUAGCACAGACCAAAUUUUGAAUGUGAAUUUUUAAAACUAUUACCUCUUUUAACUAAAAACUUAAGGCAAACAAAUUUCAAGUAGAAAUAUUCAGGUUUUUGGAGUGUGGGAUUACUCAGCUUCUAUUGAUGACUUGUGGUUUCACCCAUUGAAACCUUCUGGAGAGUUCUUUCUGGUUGCCAAAGUUCCAGGCUAUUUUCAUGGAUGCAUAAUUAUAAGAAGGACUCAUUUUGUGGAGAAAUGAUGAUGAUGUGAAUUUGUCUGCUGAAUAGUGCAAUGCAAGGCUUUUGACUCAGUCUGUUUCUUGGCUUCCUUUUUAAAUUAAUCAGUCUUAUUUAGAAAUCUUAGAAUGAAUAUCUGUGGCCAGAGGUAUAGAGCAAUAUAUAUACUGGAUUGGGAAAUAAUAGAUCUGAUGUAAGUUGAAUAAAUAAAUUUAAAUAAAUUUGAUUUUAAUUAUAUGAAUUUGGUGAUUGAUUAUGGCCAAGCAUUAUACUUUAGAGAUUUUCAUAGAGUUAAGAAACUUUAAGUUGAAAAAAUAAGUAUACUGUGAAAUCAGACUUCAGCUAGUUAAAGAUUUAUUUAAUCAAUUAAUUUGAAUACACCAUCCAUCCUCAACAUUU